AUACGUUUUCCUUUGAGACACCUUUUAAUUUUAAAGGCAGUUUGUAGGCUACAUUCAACGAAUAAAUGAAAUGCUGUCAACUGUUAUCUAAUUUGCUAAAAACGGUGUUGUACAGUUCCGAGCCUUAAGAGAGUAUUAAUCAGACGUGAUUUAACACAAAAUAUAUUUGUUUCUAAAAAGAUUUUUAGUACAGUUAAACACACACAUAUAUAUAACCCUAGACCACAAAACCAUAGGUCGCUGGGGUAUAUUUGUAGCAAUAGCCAAAAAUACAUUGUAUGGGUCAUAAUAAUUGAUUUUUCUUUUAUGCCAAAAAUCAUUUGAAAUUUAAGUAUCCGUUAAGACAUUUUUGUAAAUAUAUAGAAACUUUAUUUAUUUAUUUUUUGCACCCUCAGAUUCCAGAUUUUCCAAUAUAUUUGUCUUGGCCAAAUAUUGUCCUAUCACAACAAACCAUCCAUCAAUGGAAAUCUUAUUUAUUCAAAUUUCAGAUUAUGUCUCAAUCUCAUUUUCGAAAAAUUUACCCUUUAGUCUGGUAUUGUGGUCCAAGUUCACAUCUAUAUUUCCCCAAUCGAGACCAGACUAUAAUCGCUAAUUUGCCUAAAUGUACUAAAUGCAUUAAUGUAAAGGAAACGCUGAAAGAAAUGCAAAUAUUAUGUGGAUAUAAGAAAGUCUGUAAUUUGGUGUAUACUAACGAAAUUUGAAUUUCCUCAGUAACACGUAAGAGGCACAACCCGGGUUACUGCUAAAACUUUUUGCCAUCAGUCAGCUAUCAGUGUUGUGCAGAAGUUGGCUACUUUGAGGAAUGAGAGAUUUCAUGUUGACUGCAUGAUAGUUAGGCUUCUGUUUUUACCGUCACGUGAUCUUGCGUUACCCUUGACCAUGACUAUGCAGUCGCUUUGACCUUGACAUCACAGAGUCUUGUGAAUAAUAAACAGAGGGGCUGGACACCACUGCCCGUGGUUUGUUUUCAGGCAAACAAGGUGUUAUUUCCCUGUCUAGACGGCAAGAGUUAAUGACAUACCAUAAAUACAUAAAAAAGGAAAAUGCUCUGAUUAUCCGAUAUCCUUGUCAUUGUGAAAAUGUACAUUGUGUACACCCGUAUUUUACUUAAUCGUACACUCCGCUUUUUCUUUUCCGCGAACCCUUGCCCGUAUAAUUUCUAAACCACCAAUGGUUGUAUUUUCUCAUCAUGAGGUGUAGGUUAUAUUGACCAAGAAGGCAGGUAGUGCAUUCACGUCUGCAAAAGACUGUUCACAGAGAUGACAUCUCGUUUUAUUUCCAUAGGCGCAUUGAGAAAAGUUGGGUACUUCCUCCCAAAUAUCAAGAGAUGCGUCCAUCGUCAUGUCAAAAGAAAUCGGCCUUGGUGGACGUUCACAGCAAGGCUUUCAGUGAGCCAACCUGUCUUCCAAAAUCAAAGACAAUAAAAAGGCCUUUGUUUACGCUAUGGCCCUGUCUGGACGGAAAAGCGAUUCCAAGACAGCAAUCUCAGAGCGGCGCAGACAGUGCACUAGACACUGACCUUGAACUAACAACUAUUUUAGCCAUUUUCCAGAAAUGUUGGAGAUUUUAACUUUGUCCAUCCCAGCGGUAAGAAAAUUUAUUCUUUUUACUGUGACUUUUAAGCGAUAUCAUUUUAGAAAUAGGUUGUUUGAGUGGAAUGUUUCUGUGGCUGAAUUUAGUUGUUGAAAUGUCAUUCAUUCCAAGGGAGAACCAGUAACUCUCUCAACAACUUGUUUUACUCUCUGUUGUGCUCUUGUAGGAAAUAAUAAAAUAUUCUCACUACAACUAA